GGGCUCUUAGCUCAGUCAGGUAGAGCAACGGACUUUUAAUCCGCAGGUCGAGGGUUCGAUUCCCUCAGAGCCCACCA
rnacentral:tRNA from 1 species